rnacentral:rRNA from 1 species
AGUCGAGCGGACCGACGGGAGCUUGCUCCCUUAGGUCAGCGGCGGACGGGUGAGUAACACGUGGGUAACCUGCCUGUAAGACUGGGAUAACUCCGGGAAACCGGGGCUAAUACCGGAUGCUUGAUUGAACCGCAUGGUUCAAUCAUAAAAGGUGGCUUUUAGCUACCACUUACAGAUGGACCCGCGGCGCAUUAGCUAGUUGGUGAGGUAACGGCUCACCAAGGCGACGAUGCGUAGCCGACCUGAGAGGGUGAUCGGCCACACUGGGACUGAGACACGGCCCAGACUCCUACGGGAGGCAGCAGUAGGGAAUCUUCCGCAAUGGACGAAAGUCUGACGGAGCAACGCCGCGUGAGUGAUGAAGGUUUUCGGAUCGUAAAACUCUGUUGUUAGGGAAGAACAAGUACCGUUCGAAUAGGGCGGCACCUUGACGGUACCUAACCAGAAAGCCACGGCUAACUACGUGCCAGCAGCCGCGGUAAUACUUAGGUGGCAAGCGUUGUCCGGAAUUAUUGGGCGUAAAGCGCGCGCAGGCGGUUUCUUAAGUCUGAUGUGAAAGCCCCCGGCUCAACCGGGGAGGGUCUUUGGAAACUGGGUGAACUUG